rnacentral:rRNA from 1 species
ACGAACGCUGGCGGCGUGCUUAACACAUGCAAGUCGCACGGAAAGGCCCUGCUUUUGUGGGGUGCUCGAGUGGCGAACGGGUGAGUAACACGUGAGUAACCUGCCCUUGACUUUGGGAUAACUUCAGGAAACUGGGGCUAAUACCGGAUAGGAGCUCCUGCUGCAUGGUGGGGGUUGGAAAGUUUCGGCGGUUGGGGAUGGACUCGCGGCUUAUCAGCUUGUUGGUGGGGUAGUGGCUUACCAAGGCUUUGACGGGUAGCCGGCCUGAGAGGGUGACCGGCCACAUUGGGACUGAGAUACGGCCCAGACUCCUACGGGAGGCAGCAGUGGGGAAUAUUGCACAAUGGGCGGAAGCCUGAUGCAGCAACGCCGCGUGCGGGGUGACGGCCUUCGGGUUGUAAACCGCUUUCGCCUGUGACGAAGCGUGAGUGACGGUAAUGGGUAAAGAAGCACCGGCUAACUACGUG